rnacentral:rRNA from 1 species
UACGUAGGGUGCAAGCGUUAAUCGGAAUUACUGGGCGUAAAGCGUGCGCAGGCGGCGCGUUAAGACAGGUGUGAAAGCCCCGAGCUUAACUUGGGAAUUGCGCUUGUGACUGGCGUGCGUGGAGUGUGGCAGAGGGAGGUGGAAUUCCACGUGUAGCAGUGAAAUGCGUAGAGAUGUGGAGGAACACCGAUGGCGAAGGCAGCCUCCUGGGCCAGCACUGACGCUCAUGCACGAAAGCGUGGGGAGCAAACAGG